AUUCAUUAAUCAAAAACCUUUUAUUUACAUGGAAAUCACAUGGUAUAUGAUGGAAUAUACUUUUUUUUUUUCUUUUUUUAAAUUUUGUUUUGAUAUGACAUUACAUAUAAUAUAUGGCAGUAAACAGAGGCUACUUAGGAGUGCAUUAAACAUGUAUUGACAACCAAUAAGCCACAAUUAAAACAAUAAGAAAAGUAGAAACUAAUGAACUUAACAAAAAUUCAAUCAACACCAAAUAUUUCCCUUUCUAAUUGCAGUCUAACUACAUUAUUUCUUCAUGUGUUUAAUGGCCUAAUGCAAUGAGAUACCAUUUCCUCAUACAUUU